rnacentral:rRNA from 1 species
AUUGAACGCUGGCGGCAGGCCUAACACAUGCGAGUCGAGCGGAUGAAGGGAGCUUGCUCCUGGAUUCAGCGGCGGACGGGUGAGUAAUGCCUAGGAAUCUGCCUGGUAGUGGGGGAUAACGUCCGGAAACGGGCGCUAAUACCGCAUACGUCCUGAGGGAGAAAGUGGGGGAUCUUCGGGCCUCACGCUAUCAGAUGAGCCUAGGUCGGAUUAGCUAGUUGGUGGGGUAAAGGCCUACCAAGGCGACGAUCCGUAACUGGUCUGAGAGGAUGAUCAGUCACACUGGAACUGAGACACGGUCCAGACUCCUACGGGAGGCAGCAGUGGGGAAUAUUGGACAAUGGGCGAAAGCCUGAUCCAGCCAUGCCGCGUGUGUGAAGAAGGUCUUCGGAUUGUAAAGCACUUUAAGUUGGGAGGAAGGGCAGUAAGUUAAUACCUUGCUGUUUUGACGUUACCAACAGAAUAAGCACCGGCUAACUUCGUG